rnacentral:rRNA from 1 species
GACGAACGCUGGCGGCGUGCUUAACACAUGCAAGUCGAGCGGAAAGGCCCUGCUUUUGUGGGGUGCUCGAGUGGCGAACGGGUGAGUAACACGUGAGUAACCUGCCCUUGACUUUGGGAUAACUUCAGGAAACUGGGGCUAAUACCGGAUAGGAGCUCCUGCUGCAUGGUGGGGGUUGGAAAGUUUCGGCGGUUGGGGAUGGACUCGCGGCUUAUCAGCUUGUUGGUGGGGUAGUGGCUUACCAAGGCUUUGACGGGUAGCCGGCCUGAGAGGGUGACCGGCCACAUUGGGACUGAGAUACGGCCCAGACUCCUACGGGAGGCAGCAGUGGGGAAUAUUGCACAAUGGGCGGAAGCCUGAUGCAGCAACGCCGCAUGCGGGAUGACGGCCUUCGGGUUGUAAACCGCUUUCGCCUGUGACGAAGCGUGAGUGACGGUAAUGGGUAAAGAAGCACCGGCUAACUACGUG